AGGUAAAGUACAGAAAGUGGUGGCCACCUCAUAAGACUCAAUGCAAAGUGGGGAAGGCCAAGGGAAUUCGGUGUAACUCCGAAGCUGUGCCGCAACCGUAAAGCCGGGAGACCGACCACUAGAAAAGAGUCCCG
rnacentral:ncRNA from 2 species